AAACUUACCUGGCAAAGGAGAUUCCAUGAUCACGAAGGUGGAUCCCCUACAGCGAGGCGCGGCCGUUGCACUGACGGGCACGCUGAACUGUACGAGUUCCUCGGAUGUAGGAAUCUCGACUCCAAAAUAUGUGGUAGUGGGGGACUGCGUUCGCGCUCUCCCCUG